GGCCGCCUGGCGAAAUGGCAUCGCGUCUGCCUACGACUUGCAUUAAUCGGAAGAUUGCAGUAUCGAACCCCUGCGUGUGGUCA